AUGCCUUCCUUGGGAGGGAAAGCACAGACUGUCUUGGGCCCUGUGGAUCCGAACUGCCUUGGCUAUACGUUGACUCAUGAACACUUGACUAUGAACUACAGCAGCUGUUUUUGUCCACCUUCUCCAGGCCAACAGCCUCUGUCUGAUGGGCCCAUUGAGAUGAAGAACUUGUUUUGGAUUAAGCAAAAUCCCUACAGCCACAAAGAAAACCUUCUUUUGUAUCAGGAAACAGAUGCUGUGAAGGAGGAGCUGCUGCAUUUUAAAGCAGCAGGUGGUGGGACGAUCGUGGAAAACACAACCACAGGAAUUGGUCGGGAUAUGAAUACUUUGAAGAAACUUGCUGAAGAAACGGGAGUCCAUAUUAUUGCUGGGGCUGGAUUUUAUGUGGAUUCCACUCAUUCUUCUCAAACACAGGCCAUGACAGUGGAGCAG